rnacentral:lncRNA from 12 species
AGAGAAGACAUCUGCAGGUGUUGUUGAAGCAGCAUGAACUUCAGCUGGUCCAUGGCCAGCUGGGAUAGGUUCAGGGUCUGCUGAAGGUCAUGACGGCAGUAGCAGAUGACAGGGUGGUGUGCGCAGAACUGGACAAUGCCCUGCAUAUUAUCUUAAAUCACAGCUGCACUGUGGACAUGCAGCAGUGUUUUACUAACCAGAUCGAGCAGCUCAGAGGGGAGAAUCAACAGCUGAAGGCUGCCUUGAGACAGGCAGAGUUCAGACUCAGCACAGUGGAGAGAGAGAAGGCCUGUCAGCACGCUGUGCUCUCAGAUAAGAAAUGCAAUGUUGAUCAGCUUACUUUAAAGAAACAGCAGAUGAUCGCUGAGCUGGGAGUGCGGCGUAUGCAGCUUACCCAGCUGAAAGCAGAGGGACAGGAAGCUUUGAAAGAGCUGCUCAGCAGUAAGACCUGUGAGCUGGAACAAGAAAACCUGAAACUUAAGAGCCAGCUGAAGACUACGGGCUGAGCUGGACCAGACCAACAGUUCCUUGAGAACACUGGAGACAGCUGGUGGUCAUGGAGAAACACCGUCAGGCAUUACUGGUUAAGAGACAGACACAAGAGCUGCUGUCAGAGAGGGAGAGCAGGAGAAGACUGGAGUCUGAAGUGGAGGCUCUGUGCUCACAAGAGCGAGAGCUCAAAGGCAAAGCAGAGAGACUGGAAGCAGCUUUAUACAAGGUGUCUGAUGGUCUUCUUGUUAAACAAAUGCUUAUUACAAUACAACAGAACCGAACAAAUAAUGGAACUGAUGUUCUAUUUGACCAACAUUGUAAACCAUAACAUUAUGUUAUAUAAUGUACAUUAUAUGUCUGACAGUUUUGCUGAAUGCCAAGAUUUUAUUCAGAAAUAGGAACAGGAGUUUAUGAGGCUGAAACUGCAGCAUGCAUUAGAUCUAAAGGUAAAAGUGUACACACAUUUACUGUAGUAGUAGUUAUUUUAUAUCACCUUCUGGUAAAACUUUAUUAUUCUCUUGCUGUUAUGCUAUUUCCAUACAGUAUGUAUGUUUUUUUUUGGUUAGGAAUUGCAAAGCCAGAACUGGCGUAACGUUUCCAGAUCUCCAGUCAGCAGCUGUAUCCUACAGACUCAUCUUCCCCUCGCUCAGCAUAACGUUAAUGGCCUAAUGGAGGUAUGAAAAAAGCCCUUCUAACCACCCACACACUUAAAUAUCUGAAUUGACAGGAUGUGCUGGAACGGAUUUCCCUCUGGAAUCAAUCUCCAGAUGAGAGUCUCUGACCCCCUUGUGGAGUUGAAGAGGUUUUUAAGAGAGCUGCGUGGUGGGAUUGCUGAAGAGCAAGGACCACACACUACCUUAAGCUUCAGGAGGAGACCCGAGGAAGACCACAAAUCUAGACAGUGAGAGUCUCAUUCAACUGAAAAAAAAAUAUAUAGAGAGAGAAAAGCACCUUAGAGAAGACUGUAUCAUCAAGGAAUGGAGGAGUCAAAGAAAUUACAAGCAUUUUUUAUUUUUGCAUACCUAUAGGAACUAAAGGGGCUGAAAGUACCACAAGGCCAACUGGAAGAAUAAACAGUUACAGGUAAAUAGAAGAAAUGCACUUGUAAGGUGUUCAUCUAGCCACAGAUGCUUGAUGCUCAAGAAGCUGCUUUGCCUCAGUGAGGUCAUUUUGUAACAUUUAAGUGCUUCUCUGCAGUGAUUUAUGCUUUUUCUCCACUCUCUGAGUCAAGAGUUAGUGCUCUGAGACACAUUUAAUGCAUGUGUGCUUUGAUGCAGUGAGCCAGGAUCCUUCAGAACUUCUGAACCUAAUAAGCAGGAUCACCCCAGCCCUUUAUCAGCUGACAGUGAGUCUUUUGGCCAUACACUGAUCAAUAAUGGAAAAACUGAUUAACUGAUCCCUUUUAAUUUAAAAAUACAUACAUAUAAUAAAAUGUCUCUUGUUUUACAGAUAAUGCAGUAUGUUUUAGAGCAGGACAGACAUGCUGUUCCUGCUCUGUUUGUGCAACAGGACGCAGGUCUCCUGUGCACCUUCUCCUCACUUCUGAUCUUCCCACUGACAGAAACUACUGGCUAGAGAUGGAGCGCCUUGCCUACGCUAAUCAAAUAUGUGAGCUCCACUUCACAUCAAACAUAAUUAGAGCCGUUUUAUGAAAUUUAAACAGAUAAAUUGUGCCUGCAGGAGGAUUUGUUCAACAAUGCCAGUGAUUUAAUUUGUUUACUGCAUGUUGUAAAUCAUAGUAAGUGAUUAAUUGGUUAUAAAGCUAGAGGUUUAUUGCUCUUUUAUCAGCUGCCAACAAUCAAGAUGAGCUCACAGGACAGGCAUCUCAGAAAAUCAAGCUGGACAGGCCGUAGAAGCUACUGAAGGAUGAUGGCCAGAAUGACACUAUUUUUGUUUAGUCUCAAUAGGUGUGUUUGACUUUGACUUUGACUGAGGCUGGCUUUAUGAUUGAUGAAAUCUGCCAGUUGCAUUAAGGGGAGGAGUCGAAAACAGCUUUCAAAACAGACAUAUAGUGACGCUCGCACUGUUUGCUUUCUACAUCACAAAUAAGCUGGAUUAGAUACAGGUCCUUCUCAAAAAAUUAGCAUAUUGUGAAAAAGUGCAUUAUUUUCCAUAAUGUAAUGAUAAAAAUUAAACUUUCAUAUAUUUUAGAUUCAUUGCACACCAACUGAAAUAUUUCAGGUCUUUUAUUGUUUUAAUACUGAUGAUUUUGGCAUACAGCUCAUCAAAACCCAAAAUUCCUAUCUCAAAAAAUUAGCAUAUUUCAUCCGACCAAUAAAAGAAAAGUGUUUUUAAUACAAAAAAAGUCAGCCUUC